rnacentral:rRNA from 1 species
GACUAACUACGAUAAGCUUUGGUGAGCGGUAAGUACGCUAUGACCCAAAGAUUUCCGAAUGGGGAAACCCAACUCGUAAGAGUUGUCUGUAUCUGAAUACAUAGGAUAUUUGACGGAAUACGCUGUGAACUGAAACAUCUCAUUAGCAGCAGGAGCAGAAAGAAAAAUCGAUUCCCUAAGUAGCGGCGAGCGAACGGGGAAGAGCCCAAACCAACGUGCUUGCAUGUUGGGGUUGUAGGACUGAUAUAUAAGAGUUACAAAAGUGUUUUAUAGCAGAACAAGUUGGGAAACUUGGCUAUAGAGGGUGAUAGCCCCGUAAGCGAAAUGAAGCACACUCUUUUCAGGAUCCUGAGUACGGCCGGACACGUGAAAUCCGGUCGGAAUCUGCGGGGACCAUCCCGUAAGGCUAAAUACUCCCUAGUGACCGAUAGUGAACCAGUACCGUGAGGGAAAGGUGAAAAGCACCCCGGAAGGGGAGUGAAAUAGUUCCUGAAACCACGACGCCUACAAGAAGUCAGAGCCCGUUAAUGGGUGAUGGCGUGCCUUUUGUAGAAUGAACCGGCGAGUUACGGUAUCGUGCGAGGUUAAGGUGGAAAGACCGGAGCCGCAGCGAAAGCGAGUGUGAAUAGCGCGAAUAGUACGAUGCUGUAGACCCGAAACCAAGUGACCUACCCAUGGUCAGGAUGAAGGUGAGGUAAAACUUACUGGAGGUCCGAACCGGUGCAUGUUAAAAAAUGCUCGGAUGAACUGUGGGUAGCGGUGAAAUUCCAAACGAACUUGGAGAUAGCUGGUUCUCUCCGAAAUAGCUUUAGGGCUAGCCUCAUUAUAAGCAUACUGGAGGUAGAGCACUGUUAAGCCUAGGGGCCCAUCUCGGGUUACCAAAGUUUGAUAAACUCCGAAUGCCAGAUAUGUAUGAAUGGGAGUCAGACGAUGAGUGAUAAGAUCCACCGUCGAAAGGGGAACAGCCCAGAUCGCCAGUUAAGGUCCCUAAAUAUAUGUUAAGUGGAAAACGAUGUGAUAGUGCAUAGACAACUAGGAUGUUGGCUUAGAAGCAGCCACCAUUUAAAGAGUGCGUAAUAGCUCACUAGUCGAGUGCCAUUGCGCGGAAAAUGUACCGGGGCUAAACAUAUUACCGAAACUGCGGGUGCACGUAAGUGCGCGAUAGGAGAGCGUUGUAAGGGCGACGAAGGUAGAUCGUAAGGACUGCUGGAGCGCUUACAAGUGAGAAUGCCGGUAUGAGUAGCGAAAGACAGGUGAGAAUCCUGUCCACCGAAUGACUAAGGUUUCCUGGGGAAGGCUCGUCCACCCAGGGUUAGUCGGGACCUAAGGCGAGGCUGAGAAGCGUAGUCGAUGGAUAACAGGUUGAGAUUCCUGUACCAGUUGUAAUGCGUUAUUACCGAUGGAGGGACGCAGGAGGCUACCAGAUGCGCACUGAUGGAUAUGUGCGUGCAAGCAGUACGAAUUGAAGACCCAUUAAACGGCGGCCGUAACUAUAACGGUCCUAAGGUAGCGAAAUUCCUUGUCGGGUAAGUUCCGACCCGCACGAAAGGCGUAACGAUCUGGGCACUGUCUCAACGAGGGACUCGGUGAAAUUUAAAUACCCGUGAAGAUGCGGGUUACCCGCGACAGGACGGAAAGACCCCAUGGAGCUUUACUGUAGCUUGAUAUUGAAUGUUUGUGCUGCUUGUACAGAAUAGGUAGGAGACGUAGAAGAUUGGACGCUAGUCUAGUCGGAGUCGCACGGUGGGAUACUACCCUCGUUGUAUGAACAUUCUAACACUGGUCACUCAACGUGAUCGUGGACAGUGUCUGGCGGGCAGUUUGACUGGGGCGGUCGCCUCCUAAAAGGUAACGGAGGCG